rnacentral:rRNA from 1 species
UACAGAGGUCCCAAGCGUUUGUUCGGAUUCAUUGGGCGUAAAGGGUGCGUAGGCGGCGCGGUAAGUCGGGUGUGAAAUCUCGGGGCUUAACUCCGAAACUGCAUUCGAUACUGCCGUGCUUGAGGACUGGAGAGGAGAUUGGAAUUCACGGUGUAGCAGUGAAAUGCGUAGAUAUCGUGAGGAAGACCAGUGGCGAAGGCGGAUCUCUGGACAGUUCCUGACGCUGAGGCGCGAAGGCCAGGGGAGCAAACGGG